ACCCUNUGGAGCUUUAAACUUAUUACCACUUAUUUAGUUACAUAACAAUUUAAAUAAUAAGACUGUUCUUUAAUAGUUUUCGGUUGGGGCGACCCUGGAGAAAAAUAAAUCCUCCAGAUUGAAAAAUAACCCUUAUAUAAGAACCACAAUUCAAAUAAACAAAAAUUUGACAAAACUGACCCAGAAUAACUGAUCAGUGAACCAAGUUACCCUAGGGAUAACAGCGCUAUCCAUUUUGAGAGUCCGUAUUGACAAAUGGGUUUACGACCUCGAUGUUGGAUCGGGGUAUCCCAGCAGCGCAGCAGUUGCUAAUGGUUCGUUUGUUCAACGACUAACACCCCACGUGAUCUGAGUUCAAACMRGANCNCCUGU
rnacentral:rRNA from 1 species